rnacentral:lncRNA from 10 species
GCCCAGCCCGCUGGUCAGAAUGAACUGGUCCCAGGGAGGACACUGGACUGCAGCUGGUGCAGUCGUUUCCUCUUGCCUUGAAAAUUGGGAACGGAGAGACACAAAACUAGAAGUUGCUGCAGCAGAACACCCUACAAGACAGAGCUGGAGCUGUGGUAGGAAGGCCCCUGUCCUCCAGCUCCUGAAGUUCCUAGCAUGGCCCAGGCCCUUUAGAUUUCACGGGAGCAUUGGUAUGCAGAGUACUGGGAUUUAUCUGGCCACACCUCCAAAGGCUAAUCCAGUCCCCCAUCUUUCCACGUCUGCGUCUGCUCCCACAGCUGAUUCCACUCUUCUUCUUCUUUUUUUUUGAAGGUGUUAUUUGGUGGCUGUGACAAAGCAGUAUGAGAGAUUCUAAAUUUUUAAGUGUUCUUUUUUUGUAAAUUAACUUUACCCGUCAGAAAUUUUUUGAUAAGCAAAAGCUUUUAUGCCAAGCACAGUAUCAAGCACUUUUCACAUAUUAAUUCAUUCAAUCUCACAGUAACUCUACUACAUGGAUAUAUGAUUUUCUCCAUUUUCCAAAUGAGGAAACUGAAGCACAGAGAUAAUCAUUAAAUAACGUCUUUAAAUGAAAGCACUUGGUAAAUUGCGAAGCCUGGCUUAAGUUUGAACAGCCUGACAGUAUAUCUCACGUUCUUAGACACCACAUUAUAAUUAGGAUGGCUUCCUUUGCUCUUGUUAUCCCUUCAAACUAUUUUUCAUAACAAGCCUAGAAUAUUAUAAGAAAUAUAUAACCAUUAUUUCUUGACCUCAGGGUAAAAAUGCAAAUUUCUUUUUAGGACACAAAACACAUGGUUCUAGCUCAGACCUCUGGCCUAAUCCCCUGACUACAAGGCAUCAGGCUCUACUCAUAUUGGGCUGUUUUCAUUUCUCUGAACACUAUUUUGUGUUAUCCUGCAUCUGGCAGGCCACUGAAUAUUCUUUUUUGUCCACAGAGGACACAUUCUUUGCCAAUUUUGCAUGACUAAUUUCUACUCAUCCUUCAAGUAACUGUUAUGCAGUUCUUCCUCUGGUAAGUCUAUCCUGACCGUCUCCCAAGAUGGCUUUAAGAUUGCUUGCAAUGAUACAGACAGGAGAGAGAGAAAUACUGGGUAGAAGAGGGCAGUUCACCAGCAAAGACCCCACCCUCAAGCCUGGAAACCCGCGGCCCUAAAUAAGAAUAGGCGUUUCUGUUCUCACACACGAAAAGUUGCCUUUUGGCCUGCCACGACCCCCCAUUUUAUACCCAUAUAAAUUCUGAACCCCAGGCUCCAGAAGGAGUUGAGCAGACAAGCAGACGACGAGACAAGGAGACAAGCAGAUGAAUGGUAUAACCACACGGCAAAGAGAGAAGAGGAGGAACGUCUGAACGCUGAGAGGUGUUUGACUGGGGGUGGUCAGAGAGGAGUUCGGCCGCUGGACUCCAGGGGAAUAUCAUCUUCCCACUCCAUCCCCGCUUCUGGGUCCCCAUCGAUCCUACUGAGAGCCACCUCCACCACUCAAUAAAAUCCCCACAUUCAUACUUCAAGUCUGUGUGUGACCCAAUUCUUCUGGGACGCUGGACAAAAGCUUGGGAUACAGAAAGCUGUCACACUGGCCCUCUGCCGUUGCAGAAAGGCAGAGUCCACUGAGCUGGUUAACACUCAAGCUGUCUGUGGACAGCAAGGCAAAAAGAGCACACUGUAACACAUGCCCAGUUGGGCUCCUGCGCCUCUCUGUCUGCGUGCUCCCCCUCCCAUAAGGGGUUUGGGCAGCCAUGGCAACAGAACAGACGAGCCACAUCCCUUUAGCACAUCCUGCAAGAGGGAUCAGGGAACUGCCCCGUUUCAGCAACAGAUUCCUAUUGCAUCUUGUAUUCUC